UACCUGGUGUUCGACGAGGACGACGAUUGCGCCCGUUGGGAACGGGUCGAGUUCUAUUAUCCGAUGGAUCCGUUCAAAAUGGGUUCGGGUAA
rnacentral:tRNA from 1 species